rnacentral:rRNA from 1 species
UGAACGCUGGCGGCGUGCCUCAUACAUGCAAGUCGAGCGAACAGAUGAGGAGCUUGCUCCUCUGACGUUAGCGGCGGACGGGUGAGUAACACGUGGAUAACCUACCUAUAAGACUGGGAUAACUUCGGGAAACCGGAGCUAAUACCGGAUAAUAUAUUGAACCGCAUGGUUCAAUAGUGAAAGACGGUUUUGCUGUCACUUAUAGAUGGAUCCGCGCCGCAUUAGCUAGUUGGUAAGGUAACGGCUUACCAAGGCAACGAUGCGUAGCCGACCUGAGAGGGUGAUCGGCCACACUGGAACUGAGACACGGUCCAGACUCCUACGGGAGGCAGCAGUAGGGAAUCUUCCGCAAUGGGCGAAAGCCUGACGGAGCAACGCCGCGUGAGUGAUGAAGGUCUUCGGAUCGUAAAACUCUGUUAUUAGGGAAGAACAAAUGUGUAAGUAACUAUGCACGUCUUGACGGUAUCUAAUCAGAAAGCCACGGCUAACUACGUG